AUAUAAAUUUAUCGUGUCAGAUUAAGGCCACUUAAGGAAAAUUUAAACAAUUUCUUCGUUUCUAUCAACCACCACCUCAUCUCGAAUAAACGGAGAACGUUCCAUGAACCGCGUUGGUUCAGAUCUGCCUUUGUCCUCUCCAGCUUUUGGUUUUCCUGAGGUUCUCUGGAUUUUGGGGACACUCGUGGGGUUUCUCUCCCCAGGGUGGCUCCUCUGGUGGACCUUCAGGUGGAAUUUCCAACCGAAGUUCUCCCCACACUCGUGGGGUUUCUCCCCACAUCAGGUUGAAGUUCUCACCAAAGUUCUCCCCACACUUGUAGGGUUUCUCCCCACAUCAGGCUGAAGUUCUCACCAAAGCUCUCCCCACACUUGUAGGGUUUCUCCCCAGAUCAGGUUGAAGUUCUCACCAAAGUUCUCCCCACACUUGUAGGGUUUCUCCCCAGAUCAUCACCAAAGCUCUCCCCACACUUGUAGAGUUUCUCCCCAGGGUGGCUCCUCUGGUGGACCUUCAGUUGGGAUUUCCAACCGAAGCUCGCCCCACACUUGUGGGGUUUCUCCCCAAAUCAUCACCAAAGUUCUCCCCACACUCGUGGGGUUUCUCCCCAAAUCCGGCUGAAGUUCUCACCAAAGUUCUCCCCACACUCGUAGGGUUUCUCCCUUUCUCCCCAGAUCAGGCUGAAGUUCUCACCAAAGCUCUCCCCACACUUGUAGGGUUUGUCCCCAGGGUGGCUCCUCUGGUGGACCUUCAGGUGGGAUUUCCAACUGAAGUUCUCCCCACACUCGUGGGGUUUCUCCCCAGAUCAGGCUGAAGUUCUCACCAAAAUUCUCCCCACACUUGUAGGGUUUCUCCCCAAAUCAGUCUGAAGUUCUCACCAAAGCUCUCCCCACACUCGUGGGGUUUCUCCCCAGAUCAGUCUGAAGUUCUCACCAAAGUUCUCCCCACACUCGUGGGGUUUCUCCCCAGAUCAUCACCAAAGCUCUCCCCACACUUGUAGGGUUUCUCCAUUUCUCCCCAGAUCUGGCUGAAGUUCUCACCAAAGCUCUCCUCACACUUGUAGGGUUUCUCCCCAGAUCAUCACCAAAGUUCUCCCCACACUCGUGGGGUUUGUCCCCAGGGUGGCUCCUCUGGUGGACCUUCAGUUGGGAUUUCCAACCGAAGCUCUCCCCACACUCGUGGGGUUUCUCCCCAGAUCUGGCUGAAGUUCUCACCAAAGCUCUCCCCACACUCGUGGGGUUUCUCCCCACAUCAGGCUGAAGUUCUCACCAAAGCUCUCCCCACACUCGCGGCGUUUCUCCCCGGCGCGGCUCCUCUGCUGGACAACCACUUGGCAUCUCCUGGGUGACUCUGCCCACACCGGGGACACUCG